rnacentral:tRNA from 1 species
GCCUGGGUGGCUCAGUUGGUUAAGCGUCCGACUUCGGCUCAGAUCAUGAUUUCACGGUUUGUGGGUUUGAGCCCCAUAUCAGGCU